GGUCUCGUAGCUCAGUUGGCUAGAGCGUUGGCUGUACUAAAGCCUUCCUCUUGCUGGCGUGGGUUCGAAUCCCACCAAGGCCA
rnacentral:tRNA from 1 species